rnacentral:lncRNA from 1 species
UGAAAUUUAAAUUGACUGAAUUCCGAAUUUAUUUUAAGCAUCAACCAGCACUAAAGUAUCAACCAAAAAGAGUUCCCAGCGCUAAAGUAUCAACCAAAGCUUUUCCUUCGGGCUUUCCGGUGGCGCUCUCGGGCACAGAAGUGACCUUAACACUGUCAUCAGAUUCGGGCUCGGAGGAGGGCCAGAAAUCCAUCCGGAACUUAUCGGAUUCACCGAGGAAGAGCAUUUAAUUGGCGUAAUUAGCUUGCGGGAAGAAACCGCCGGCGCUUUCAGCGGAGGGUUGAAAUGGAGAGGAAGUUCAGUGCGAGGAGAUAGAAGGAAUCUGUGGCGGUGUGUGGAAAUUGGAUUGGGUUUAUUGGGGAGGGAAAUUGAAGGGGAGAAUGAAAUCGCUGUGCCCUGCAUUUUUGGAGGUUUCUUGGGUGGAAUCGAAGUAGAAGAGGAAAUGAGGGGAGGAAAAUAGACAGGAAGAUAUGGGUUGGUGGGGGAAAUGAGGUGACCGUUGUGGUAUCCGCCGAGGAAGGAGGGGAGGGGAGGCGGCUUUGUUGUUGGUGG